UUUUGUAGCGCGGGGCCCGUGGGCAAGAGGCCCGGGAGACUGGGAUAGCAGAGGGGAAGUCGCCAAUGGCUACCUGGAUCGAGUCCCCUUUGUAUUUCGUUCACAUCACCCUUUUUUCUUCCACUGAGACACCGCAUUAUUUGGCUACCGUCGGUGGCGCGGCGGUGGGAGUGUAAGAGGAGGUCUGCUUCCGCUGCCACCAUUACCUGUUUCUUCGAUGGUUAAGCUUGAGUAAAGGAAACUUCUGGGAAGUGGCCAAAGACCCUUGACAUGCCCCCCGCAGAGGAAACAUCGCUGACGUCAUCUCUGCUUGUCCACUCUGUGCUUCAGUCAAGCCCAAGGCCAUCCCAGCGGCAAACUUUUGCUGCCCUCUCCCAGAAUGCCUGCUGAAACUGCCUCCUUGAGUCUGAAGGGGACCAGUGGAAACUUUGGGGGACAUAUUUUCGGGAGGCCAAGGCUCAAAUUGCCUGCCCAGGAACACAGUCAAGGAAGUGCUUUGGUCUAUUCUAGGCUUGUGGUCCAACACCAGAGACAGCUUCCUUGUAAACUCGAAGAGGUUGAUCAUGGGUCUAUUAUUUGCAUAGUGUAUCUUUGCAUCUGCAUUCACUUAAUAUCCAAAUGCUUAGAAAACUGCCAGCCAGUUUUGUGGCUCUAACAAGGCAGUGUCUUGUUCUUUGAAAGCCUCCGAGUAAAAACAGUUUAUAUGUGCUUUGGAAGUGCUUGUCUGAAAUCUAAAGUUAACCUCUGUUUGUAGUCACGUCUUCUGGAUUAGUUACAGUACCCUGAACACUGAGCAGAGGACAGAGGGAGUAGGGUUUUGUUUUUCUCAGUCUGGAAAAGCCCAUCCUUGCUCUGUCUGUAAGCAUAUCCUUCUGGGAGGAAAAUGUUAUCAGCAAUAUUCCGAUGACCUGGGAUGGGGCUGAGGAUCAGGAAGGGAGCCCAACAACCCGAGGAUCAUUUUUGUGUUUCUUUUGGUGUUAAAUUGCUGUCUUGUUGAUGGAGGAAGGUAAGAAGGGGUGGAGACCCGGCUCGGUGGAGUUGGGAGGAGCAUGGGCAGAGUCAUGUGGGCUUGGCUUCCUUUCCUUCGAUCUCACUUACCCAGUGAGCUAGAGAGAAUUUGCAACCACCUUCAACUAGAGAACAAUCUGCAAGCCAAUCUGCCCUGGGCACUGCCUCCGGGAACUUACAC
rnacentral:lncRNA from 1 species